rnacentral:rRNA from 1 species
AUGGGGCACAGCGCGAGGAAGAAGAAGAAGAAGGGCGGCGCCGGGCGCAAGGCGGCCAAGGACCACGCCGCGCAGCUCGAGGGCGACCAGACCGCGCUCACGGACGAGCUCACGGCGCUGGCUGCAAUUUUUCUCGAGGACUUCAAAAUAACUUCACAAUCACCUCACACCCGAUUUAGCAUAUGUAUCAGGCCUUACUCUGACGGCAUGGGCUUUGGAGAUUUAAAUGUUUCGGCUAUUCUUGAUGUAAUUUGCUUUGCUGGUUACCCCCACAAGUGCCCAAAGUUGCGAAUCAUACCUGAGAAAAACUUGUGUAAAGAAGAUGCUGAUCGGCUACUUUCCCUUCUUUCUGACCAGGCAAACAUUUAUUCCCGAGAAGGGCGUGUUAUGAUUUUCGAUUUGGUAGAGGCUGCCCAAGAAUUCCUGUCAGAAAUUGCUCCAGCUACUGAUUCAACGAGUACUGCUCCUCACUUAGGUUCAAGUACAAUACAGGAAAUAACUGACGCAGAUGUGAAUGCUAGCCUUGACAGUGGUCCUUAUCCUGGAAUCUUUUACAUCUAUAACUCAUUCGAUUUGUAUGGUCAACUAUAUGAAGACAAUAGUUGGCAAAGGCAAGGUUUCGACCCAACAACUGAUAAUGCCAGGAAAAAUAUUGGAUCUCAAGUCAAUUCAAAUGUUAGAAGCAAGAGGAAAACAGUCGACGAGAAAUCCCGUUUUUCAGCUGAUAAGAUCAAUGCUGCAAAAAGUUCAUCUCAGGAUAAUGCUGAGCAUGCCAUGAAGCAUGGUGUUGUACGAGAGGUAGUUCCAAGUUUACCUGCUGUUGCAGAGGAAACUGAUAAUGACAGCAAAACUUUGUCCACAAGCAACGGAGGAGGUAUGGCAGAUACUCCAGAGAGGAGUUUCAGCAGUGUACAUGAAUCCGAGGACUCUGACCUUGCAGAUGACGGUUGGAAUGAUGCAGAUUCUGCUCCAGACUCUGGCUCUUCAAAUGCGCCAUCUCAUGUUUCAGACAUGUUUGAUGAUGCUUCGCAAAAUAAGAAAAGGGACUUAAUUCUGGUACACUUGCUUCGGUUAGCCUGUGCGUCAAAAGAUUCUCUUUCGGCUGCUUUGCCAGUAAUAUCAUCGGAGUUAUGCAACAUAGGGGUUCUUUCUGAAUGGGCUAAGCAAUUAAUUUCUGAAUCUCCUGCUGUUUUUGGGGAAACUUUUGAUCAUGUUUUUGGGCAGCAAAUGAUAUCUUCAGAGUGCUCUCUAUUUUGGAGGGCUGACAAUUCCUCAUCUAGGCCAAAUUCCCGUUAUUUAAAUGAUUUUGAAGAGCUCCGUUCACUUGGUCAGGGGGGCUUUGGCCGUGUGGCAUUGUGUAAAAACAAGCUCGAUGGACGCCAAUAUGCUGUAAAGAAGAUACGCCUCAAGGAUAAAAGUCCUCAAGUGAACGAAAAGAUUCUAAGAGAAGUUGCCACACUUUCACGACUGCAGCAUCAGCAUGUUGUUCGGUACUACCAGGCAUGGGUUGAAACUGAAUAUGGUCAACGUCAUGUUGUGAACACUGGGGGGUCCCGCACUGCUGAGAGCUCUAUGUAUAGUUUCGAUGAGAUCAGCUUAUCAGACGCAGGUGCUGGAAAUAAGCAGGAAUCCACGUACUUGUACAUCCAAAUGGAGUAUUGUCCUAGAACCCUGCGACAGGACUUUGAGACAUAUAGUUCAUCUUUCAAUGUCGACCAUGCAUGGCACCUAUUUCGACAAAUCGUGGAAGGCCUAGCACAUGUUCAUAGUCAAGGCAUCAUACACCGGGACUUGACACCUAGCAACAUAUUUUUUGAUGUGCGCAACGAUAUCAAAAUUGGUGAUUUUGGUCUUGCCAAAUUUCUAAAGCUGGAGCAGCUGGAUCAUGACCAAUAUAUUCCUACUGAAGGAAUGGGCGUUUCAAUGGAUGGAACAGGUCAAGUAGGCACCUAUUUUUAUACUGCACCAGAGGUAGAACAGAAGUGGCCACAGAUAAACGAAAAGGUUGACAUGUACAGUGCGGGUGUGAUAUUCUUUGAGCUUUGGCAUCCAUUUUCAACAGCAAUGGAAAGACAUCUUGUUCUCACUGAUCUUAAACAGAAAGGCGAGUCUCCAAUGUCAUGGUCAACACAAUUUCCUGGUCAGUCAAAUCUAUUAAAACGCUUACUGUGUCCAAGCCCGUCCGAACGUCCAUCUGCGAUUGAGCUUUUGCAAAAUGACUUGCCUCCUCGGAUGGAGGACGAGUGGUUAAAUGAUGUACUUAGAAUGAUACAGACACCAGAAGACACUUACGUUUAUGAUCGAGUUAUAUCUACAAUAUUUAAUGAAGAUCGACUGGUCGCCAAAAUGCAAUGUCAGCAUGAAAGCAGUAAGAAAUCCACUUGUAAAAAUGAUAACAGUGAACUCUUGGAUUCCAUUAUUGAGGUUAGCAAAGAGGUUUUUAAGCGACAUUGUGCUAAAAGGUUCCAGAUAUCACCCUUGCAUACAUUGGAUGGGAAAUUUACUGAAAAUAGUGGACAGACAGUGAAGAUCCUAACGCAAGGAGGAGAGAUGCUAGAACUUUGCUAUGAGCAGCGAACGCCAUUUGUUAUGAACGUUGCUGCUAACCAGUUAUCAUCAUGUAAGCGUUAUGAAAUAUCAUGGGUUCACAGAAGAGCAGUUGGCCAUUCAACUCCUUAUCGUUUUCUUCAGGGUGAUUUUGACAUCAUUGGAGGUUCUUCACCAAUAACACAGGCCGAAGUUAUCAAGGUAGCUUUGGACCUUGUGAGACGUUUUUACAAUUCGAAGGCAAUUGUUAUUCGGCUGAAUCACAGCAAACUCGCUGAAGCAGUUUGUUCCUGGGCAGGAGUUCCUCAGGAACGAAGACAGAAUGUUGCUGAGUUUCUAUCUUCUACGCUUGUUCAAUAUUGCCCAAAUAAGGCGGAUCGUAAGUCACAGUGGAGUUUGAUUCGAGGGCAACUAUUACAGGAUCUUCGUCUUUCUGAAGAAGUUGUUGAGAAGCUACAUAAAGCAGAUCAACGUUUUUGUGGAUCUGCAGAUCUAGUACUUGCUAGAUUAAGAGGGACUCUUUUCUAUGAUAAAUCUGCUUGCAAGGCUCUUGAUGAUCUCUCCACUUUCCUCAAAUAUUUGAGGAUAUGGUCAGUUGAAGAACAUAUUGCUAUUGACGUACUUAUGCCUCCUUCAGACUAUUACUACACAGAUAUGUUUUUUCAGAUAUACUCAAAAGAAGGUAAUCCUGUGUUGAGUUCCCAUGAAAAGUUGCUUGCUGUUGGAGGACGAUAUGAUAUGUUGAUGGAAAAUGCUUGGGAUAAGACACAUAAAACCAAACCCCCGGGUGCUGUUGGUGUGAGCAUUGCACUUGAGAAAUUCCUUCCUAAUAAUCCUUCAUCUGACGUUGGGUUGCCAAGGAUUGAAAAUAGCAUCAGUGUACUUGUCUGUUCAAAGGGUGGCGGUGGACUCUUAAACGAGCGCAUGGAACUUGUUGCAGAACUUUGGGAAGCUAACAUAAAGGCCCAGUUUGUUCCUCAGGAAGACCCAAGUCUUCAAGAACAAUAUGAGUACGCCAGUGAUCAUGACAUCAAAUGCCUUGUAUUUAUCACUGAAGCAGGUCUUUCGCAAACAGAUCUUGUGAAGGUUAGACAUCUCGAUGCAAGAAAGGAGAAAGAUGUUGAAAAGGAAGAAAUUGUGAAGUUCCUGUCUGAAGCAAUAUCUUUACAGUUCAAAAAUCCUACAAUCUGGAGCUGA